rnacentral:rRNA from 1 species
AGAGUUUGAUCCUGGCUCAGGACGAACGCUGGCGGCGUGCUUAACACAUGCAAGUCGAACGGAAAGGCCCUUCGGGGUACUCGAGUGGCGAACGGGUGAGUAACACGUGGGUGAUCUGCCCUGCACUUUGGGAUAAGCCUGGGAAACUGGGUCUAAUACCGAAUAUGACCAUGCACUUCCUGGUGUGUGGUGGAAAGCUUUUGCGGUGUGGGAUGGGCCCGCGGCCUAUCAGCUUGUUGGUGGGGUAAUGGCCUACCAAGGCGACGACGGGUAGCCGGCCUGAGAGGGUGACCGGCCACACUGGGACUGAGAUACGGCCCAGACUCCUACGGGAGGCAGCAGUGGGGAAUAUUGCACAAUGGGCGCAAGCCUGAUGCAGCGACGCCGCGUGAGGGAUGACGGCCUUCGGGUUGUAAACCUCUUUCAGCACAGACGAAGCGCAAGUGACGGUAUGUGCAGAAGAAGAACCGGCCAACUACGUGCCAGCAGCCGCGGUAAUACGUAGGGUCCGAGCGUUGUCCGGAAUUACUGGGCGUAAAGAGCUCGUAGGUGGUUUGUCGCGUUGUUCGUGAAAACUCACAGCUUAACUGUGGGCGUGCGGGCGAUACGGGCAGACUUGAGUACUGCAGGGGAGACUGGAAUUCCUGGUGUAGCGGUGGAAUGCGCAGAUAUCAGGAGGAACACCGGUGGCGAAGGCGGGUCUCUGGGCAGUAACUGACGCUGAGGAGCGAAAGCGUGGGGAGCGAACAGGAUUAGAUACCCUGGUAGUCC